UAGGGUCAAUUUAGGGUCACCCAUCAGCCUAACGAGCAUGUCUUAGGAAGUGGGAGGAAACCGCAGUACCCGGAGAAAACCAACACAGACACAAAAAAUACAAAAGGUGUGUGUAUGUGCGUGUAUGUGUGAUAAGGCAGUUAGUCGCUACACCCAACAAGACAGUGUCUGUAUUUGAUAUAUUUAUUUUAUCCCCUCCCCUGAGAGGUGUUAAACAAUCGCAUCCAUCUCUCCGCUUGUGAUGAUGGUGGGGAGGUUGGGAAUUGUUUCUCUUGACCUCAAUUUCAAUCUUUUCAAUAAUAAUAUGUAUUUAAUUUAAUUAAAGCAAUUACACAGCGGUGAUACAAUUUCUAGGGAAAGGACAGAUUAUGAAAUGUAAUCGUGCACGGGGGAAAGAUAUUGGGGAAAUGGAAACUCUAGGAAAUACCGUUUGGUAGAACAGCAAAGAGAGGUGGGGUACAACAUGCGGAUUUGACCAUUCAUAUGAGAAACGUAUAACAUGUCCUUGAUAACCGAUUAUCCUUGAUAGCUCUGAUUUUGUGCCAGAUUCGCAGGGGCACAGGCGAAAUAGAUCAGAGGCCGGAAUGAUUGCUGCAGAUUGCAAGCGUGCCACAGAGCUCCGCAAUGCGGCCUUAGCAGCCCAAUUGGUUUGCAUGGGCACAGAAAGGAAGUGGGCAGCACUUUGAAGCAAUUCAGCUUCCUAUCUGAAUUCAGGGUUACUAUAUUACUCUGUUAAUCUGUAACCCUGCUACUUUGUUAUCAGUUACUUGGUCUUCUGCGCACACUCACUCAAUAACAGAACAUUGCGGAGUACACCACAGUGGAAAUUGUGGAAAUUGCUGCUCGACACUUGAACUGACUUGCGUUCUCUUUGCUAAUUAAUGAGGAAACUAAUUUCAGAGGAGACCACUGAACAACAACAGGUAGACAACAGGUAGAUAUAGAGUAGAUGAUCAUCGGUGUGCAUCCUUGGGUUUCAAACACCACCUGAUAACAACAACUUCUGUGGACCUGCAAAGUAUUGAAGGUGCUUUUAAACAUUUUCACCCUGGCAACUACAAAAAUGUUUUUUGUGUGUGUGUUGGAUUAUGUUCAUGGGUGCAUGCAGCUGUGGUUCCAGGAUUUGGACUGGAGCAUAAAAUCCAUGUAUCCAAUCACCAUCUUUGCGCGCCUCUUUAUAUGUACACCAACUGUACCGCACCCUAAAACCACAAGUGACUCAGUCAGGUGGUAGAAUGACUUAGGUAGUAAUGGCAUGCAGAUAUCUAAAAUGCUUUGGGUGCCACUAAGGUUGAAAAUAUAGAGAUUUUUUCAUUACCAUAUAAGUCAAAGAAAUGAUUAAGGAGAAACCAAUGGAGAUUAGGAGAACAGAUGUGGAAUAAAGAAGGGAGGGAGGGAUUUAAAGAUGUUAUUGAGCCAUUUUAUUUGUUUUACAAAAAAGCAACAAUGGAAAAAAGUGGGAACAAAGUGUUCCCAGUUUGGCUCACUCCAGUCCUGUAUGGUGCCCUGGCAGCUGGGGGGGUGUGCUAACUGUGCACUGAAAUGUCUUGGUUUUGAGUCCCGGCCAGGAUGUUUUGUUCAUAUCUCGCUCCACCUUUCUCCUCCCUUCCUGUCAACUCUUUACCACCGCUGUCAGUCUUCUGAUAUCAGCAGCCACGUAUUAAAAUCAGCUGCAAUAAGCAGUUCAUGUUCACCUUUUUUUUUUCUUUCCUGAUAGUGAUUCACUUGAGACCUGAAUGAAGAGACAGGUGCUUUCAUGAUGGGUUCCCUCCUGAGCUCUUGUUGAAACUGCUUGUUUCACAGUUUGCUGUAACUGAACCAGAUUGCACCAGCCUCUAGCAGAAAACAAUGAGACACCGUCAGUGACACCAAGCCCUGCCUCCUGAUCCCAAAAGCUGCUAUGUGUGAGCCAAUAAGAUGUGCCUCUGUAGGUGUGACAUAUCUCGUAGCUUGUUUUUUGAAGAUGCUCUCAGCAGUUGUCUGGGGGAUAAACUUUUACGACUUGUGGGCCUUUCUUUCAUCUCAGUGUUCAAGUGGUACCGAUGACAUCGACCCGUCUUUCUUUUCAACUUGAUUUCACAUUCUAACUGUGCCUUUUCUGGAGUCUUUUGUGAAGUCAGUUGGGCAGAGGAGUGCAGGUAAUUUUGUUUCCUCUCCUCUCUGCUUAUCUUUAAAAAAAUAUGUGUUUGCAUGUUUAUUUGUGUGCGUGUUCUGACCACAAAUACGUCAUCUUUCUCCGCCUCGUCGCUAUGAUUCAUCUGGUGACACAGGUGAACGCUUCAGAGGAACACCGCGUAUACAAAUGUACAUACAUAUACGUAAGCGCGCGGCAUUACUUGGAACUCUCUAUUUGUGUGUGUGCCUGUGGUGGUUGAGUGGGACUGCUAUCUGUGAGUCAUGUUCCUCUUUUCAUUCAUGGUCGCACGAGGCGGAGAGAGCACUGCUGCAGUGACAGAAGCAGAGGCAGAGGAGAUUAAAAAAGAAUAAAAAAGAGGAGAAGACUGGGGGAACAAACCUGGCCGCUGGAGUCUUUAGUCCAUGUCUGCUGCACGCACGGCUCUGCUGGAAGAUACAGUAAUGUAUGCUGCAGUUGCCUAUGGGCUUCAAAUUAACAAGCGGAACUGGAAUGAUGCACCCCUGGCAAUAAGCAGUCAAGGGUGCAGACUCAGAAUCCGGCCGGGAUCUCACCACGUCGCUACCUCGCCUCCUCUGCUAGACCACAAAAGAAAGCGUCAAGGUGGCAGGGCCUGACGGAUGGACCGACAGAUCAGCAGGGACGAUGACAUCAUUUUCACCCCGUGGGAGCCGACUGGGUCUGCCAUUCAUGCAAGUGGUGCGUCUGUGUCUCACUUCCUGGGAGAGAAUAGAACAGGAAGCCCGAGGGAGAGCUGACAACAAGCGCUCACCUCACCUCCACAAGGAAGCCUUUCUCCCCCGAGAGCAGAGCGGAUGGGAUGUGUGUGUCUGUGUGUGUUUGUGAGUGUCCCUCACUUUACCCUGUGUUGGUGCCGCAGAGGGCCGCUGUUGGUUCAGGGUUUGUCUGUUUGCACUUUCUCCUCGUUCAAGUCUGGCCCGUGUAAAACCUUUGAGUAGCUUGCCGUCGCUUUUUAUUUUGACAGAGGCGUCCAAAAUACAUCAGCGACUCUAAGGAGACAGGGGCCUAAAUGUCCAGCUUGGCAGGAUCCGGGUUUAUUUUCCCACACCAGAGUAACACUAAGAAGUGGGCUCUUUUUAUUUGAAUGGAGGGCUGUGUGCGGGUUAAAAUGUAGGUCACUUGGGAAUUUCCUAGUCAUUUUCUGGGUAGAAUGAAUAAUAUUAGACCAUAUUAAGUUACAGACACCUAGACUCUACCUAUUUGUUUUUAGCUGAAUUUAAGGGCCUGUUCAGACUUUGCAUUAAGAUGCGAUCUGGGCGAUCCGAUCACGUAAAGGCAGGUGCGAACACCCCCAGGACACAUUCAGUUUGUUUACAUGCACAUGAAAAAAAAAAAACGAAUUAUGCCUUAAUCUGAUUUGAACUGGACAACUUAAGUGCAUGUAAACGCGUCACUCCGACUAAAAUCAGAGUUCUCUUUAUCCAAUUAACACACCCACAUUAUGUAAUUGGAAAUUUCUCCAGCAUGCAUACACCUUGUUAAGACUUUAACUGGACAACGUGUGUGCACAUGCGCCACAACCACUGUACUGGUGCAUGACCCUGCAACAAAAACACCCAAGAAAGUCGGUCACAGAAGAAAACAGUAAACUGAGCCAGUAGAAGAACCACCUGAGUUAUCGUGCCAUCUUAUCUGCACCAUAAGUAACGCGCACAUUAAGUAUGAGAUUAAAAAGUUGAACUAUUAUUCAUGUUGUUGUUGUUUGAAAUGCUAGUCUGACGCAUGAAUGACUCAUGUUUAUUAUAUGACGUAAUAGGGCAAACGAAAGAAAGAGGGCCUUAUUAACCCACUGAAAAGACACAUGUCGCCACCUAGCGUGGAGGAGGAGGACAUGUUCUCGGCAGUUAUUCAAUUUCUCCGUUGCAUGUAAACUGGUACAAGGACCACAUUCAGAAAGUUGAAUUUUGAACAGAGCUCGAUUAAGCUGUGCAUGUAAACGCACUGACUGAGAUCACAUUUGAGAUAUCUGAUCUCUCACCACAUUUGGAGGUGGUCUGGGUCGCAUGAUUCCUUUGCCAGUGUGAAUGCAGUUUGUCCUCAGUCCAAUUAAAGGCCAGCUAUACUCAACGGGGGUGCUCCUGCGUUCACGACUACUAUUAUAAAUGAUCGGCUUAAAAGGAAAAAAAAUCAUAUGCGAUGGUUGUUCAUUAGCAAUGACAGCCUUUUAAAACAUUCUCUCCUUGUAGCUGUAAACUAAGUAAAAAUAUAAACAAUAAUUUACAGGGAAAGGAAAGUAUUAGAAAUGAGUGUGAUUCUGUGUUAAUUAUUGAUGGGGUCAUGUUGACAUAUGAGGAGGUGUGUCUGGUUAAAUUAGUCAAAUUAUGUCAUUUAUUGCCAGAGAUUACAGUCUGAAUCUUGUGCAGGUCUAACUAACGUCAGGUGGAGAUCAGUAAAUAAUAACUUACGCACAAACAUAAAACAGGGCUGGUCUCAGUCCUGGAGCAGUGGUAGACAUCCAUUAGAGGCAGUAGCUGUUGAAAUAUUCUACUAUGACCCAGAUGAUGUUGGGGUUUAUUUAUAUACUGAAACUGAGAUCAGAUCUGAAUGCAAGGUCUACGGGCCCUCAGUGUUAUUUGCUUUGAAAGGGAAGGGAUGUUCCUGAUAAUGCAUUGAGGAUAGUUACCAAUUGCAACCUUGGGAUCUUAGAAGAUAAUCAAGGCCUUGUGCAUUGGUCUAAGCAUGGUGCUGCACUAAACACAACCUUAGCUACGUUGCUAACACUGUGAGUGUGACUCUGAUUUCUUGUUCUCCAAACUUCGGGUUAUGCCAUCUCCUUUAAUCACCAUCAACACAACAGUAUGCACUCUACAUGAUUUCUUUCGCUGCACGUGCACUUUGUCCCACUGUAAACAUUGGCAGAUAGGAUCUAAAAUUACUCACAGUCUGAGGUAGUCAUUGAUAACUACUGAAACGUGUUACACAUGGAAAUAAACAGCAAGAGCUGAUAAAUAAACGUUCACCUAAUAAACUUAAUCGCAGGAAGUCCUAAAACAAUAUUGCACGGCUUAAUACAUAAUAUAAAUUAGUUGGAUAAUACUACACCCCUAAAAGAGAAGUUUCUAUUGCAAUACACUUUCUUUUCACUCCCUGCUGCUGCACUGGUGUUGACCUUUGCCCUCUCCAAGAGUUGAGAGCGUUUUCCUUGUCCCAGUAACUGCAUGUAACGCUGCCCUCUUGUGCCUUAAUAAAGAACUACCAUAUUAAGACAUAAAGCUUAAACAGCUCUGACAGCUCGGCAAAACACUGAGUCAUGAUUUUAGGCACUUCUCAGUAUGAGGUUCUAUCCCCCCCACCCUCUCAAUAUGGUAAUUUUUACAAACUGGACUGACUGCUUUUGACAGUGGCCCGACACCUCAGAUCAUCUGACACCCAUGUUUCAAGCACCUGUAAGGGCCACUGGGACAAUGCGAUGCAUUCACUGUGGCUUUGUUGUCGUGGCGACCCGGUCGGUUGCGUAAGUGCCGGGCGCCAUUUCCCACGAGCAGCGGCGUACAGAGGUCUUUGUGCUGCAACAUGAGACACCACACACACGCACACGCUGUCACUGUUUGUACAUUCCUCCAGCUGCUCACGUGUAGCAGCGCAGCCGCUUUAACAAGCUGUGCCCAGGUUUAACACUAGAUUUCAGAUUAGAAGCAAGUGGGCACAUUUUGCCUGGCCGUGUUAAAUUGUGCUCAGUAUACAGUGAUCAGCCGUAACAUUAUGACCUCUGACAGGAGAAGUACAUAACGUUGGCCACCUUGUGACAACUCAAUGUUCUGCUGGGAAACUUUUGGAGCUGGCAUUCAUGUGGAUGUUACUUAGACAUGUAGCACCCACCUAGACCGGACUAAACUAGGCACCCCCACUCCUUGACGGCAGCAGCCAUCCCCAGCAGGAUGCAGCACAAAUUGUUUGGGGACAACUUCGUAACCCCUCAACCCAUGUUUUAGUGUGGCAAAUCGGCACCACUGUAAACAGUGUAUGGGUCACGCUGACGAAUAACGUUUGAGACAGAUACAGCACCAAGAGCUAAGUGGGUUGUGGUUUAGCAGUUUCUACGCAUUCAGAAUACCUUUUGGUUUAAGAUUCUGACAAGAGCAGAUCAGAUUAGAUUAAGGUGCCAAAGUUCCAUUUCGUCUCACAUGCGGUAGCGUCUAGGCGAGAGUAUGCUUUGUCAGUGUCACAUGACGUGACAUAGGUGUGUGUCAUGUGUCUAUUUGUACCUGUAGGACAGGUACAGUCAGUCAUAUUCAGUGUCACAUGGCGUCAGCUCAGGGAUGUUAAAUAGUCUGUUGUUGGAGUUCAGGGGUGUGUUCGCUGUACGCUCUUGAAAACCCACGUACACUUCCUUUAUUCAUUCACAGGAACUUUCUACCUAGGUUGUUCCCCAGUCUUCCUUCCCUGCAGUAUCGAUUUCACAAAGACCCAGGAUGUAAGUACCUAAACAAAGUGCUCAUCAUGCUGUUUUUGAUGUCUGCAAUAACACAGUUCUUGAUUAUGUAGCAGACGGGAGCUGCUAUACUCCCAGCAGAGGCGUCACUGUAGCACUACACCAUCCACCUGGUUUGACAUUUCUUCCGUUUGAAUCCCUCUGUCCUGCCGGAGGCAAAUUCUCACGUUCCAGGCGUCCGUGACGCUUUGCUGAUGAUGAUGUCACAUUCAUGUUUAGGACAGACUUCCUCUUUUUCUUCCUCUAACAGGACAGCUCAACCACUGACAGGGUGACGCAUGUACACCACACAAUACCACACUAACCUGACCUGUAUGUUUUCGUGGUUCACAGCUGAUCAGCACUUCAUGGUAACGUUUUUGUUGCGGUUACAUUAUUGUCAUUGUUGUGUAACUGUUUUUUGACACUGGAUAGAUCUCAUAUACAGUAUUAGUGAAUCCCAGUCCUGUGUGGAAUCUUAGCGUCAUGACUGUUCUAAUGUUGACUUUUAUGUUGAAAUAGUGCCAGAAAGGUGUUAAAACACAGAUGGUCAUGUUAGACAUUUUGAAUUAAACACAAGGAAUUUCUAUUAUUUCGUCUAGCCCACUAAAAUUAAAAUUGGGUUGCGAAAAAUAAUAGACAGCAUGUGUCACAUAUACAGUUCAACAGCAGCAGCUCUCUCACUUAUUUUAAAGGAAUGCUGAAUAGCAUUACUUCUUAAAGCAUAGAUCUAGUAGAUAGAUUAGAUUCUGUUUUCACUAGUGCACACACCAGUGCAUUUUAGCUGAACAUUAUUGCAAGUAUUUUUGCCCUUGAAACAACUGAUGACGCAUAGCAACCUGCAAUAUUUGAUUUAGUCACUGCUAAUCCCAAUCUCACUUGACAAAUCAACUGUUUUGUUCAUGAAUGUGAAAAAAAACUAUACACAAUUUCCCAAACCACUGUAAUGCAGGUUUCUAUUCUGUCAAUCAGCUGAUCAUUACCCACACAAUGGUGGCAAAUAUAAAUCACUGUCUAAACACACUGUCUUAAAAUAGAUCAAAUACCUAUGAAGACAGCCUGGAGUCUUCCAGGACCCUGAGGCUUAGGGACUCAGCACUGUUGCUUUUAUUUUGUCAAAUUGUUCAUGCAGCUUUGGGGAAAUUGACAAAUAGUAAAUCGAAUUUCACGCAUGUUUUGUCAAUUGUAAUAAUACUAAUUAGGGUUUGAGUUAAGAUCAUUUUCCAGAGCAUGUUUUUUUUUUUUCCCCUAGCUAAUGAACACACUAUUUAUGCACCGUGAAUGCUUGUUUACUUACUUGCUGGCUGCUGCCUCACUAGUUUAGCUGCAGGUAAAGCUUUAGGAUGGGCGUUUUCAUUCAAGCUGGAAUACAUGCAGGUCAUAGCAAGAGUACAAAAGCAGAAACAUUUAGUCCUGGGACAUUCAUCAAUAUGUGUUCUUGCCUGUGCUUGCAAAACAGCAUCUGUAGCUGCCCAAGUACUGUUUCAACUGUAAGUAAGCUUCUGGCCAAGUGCACACCAGAUGCUUGAAGGUGUUCUUCUCCUUGCAUUUUUUUUUUUUUUUUUAAUCAGGGAUGCUUAGGGAAGUAACUUGUGUGGACUUGAGACAGUCAGGUAUCCCAGAAAGCAUUUUGCAGUGUCAGCGAUUAAGCUGCUAAAACAUACUCCCUACCCCUCUUCUGUUCUCUCCGUCAGAAGUUUCCUAAAAACUACAUGGUGAGCUUGAACCCCUUGAAGAUCUGGUUUAGCUAGACCCAUUCUGACUUGCAGCUAAGCUCGUCAGAUGCUAUGUAGCAGAGCAAAAGCCACACUGACUUUACCUUUUUGUUUUUCCAUCAAACAAAGAAACUUGUUCAUUGACUUCAGUCGCUUCAUUUUCACAUUUAAUUGAUAGAGUUUCUCUAAUUUUUCCACAUUAAACUACAUUUAAUAACCCACGACCCUGUGGCAACAUAGAAAUGAUUGGAAAUUAAGCAAAUUUAUCAAAACUCUGUAACUAAAAUGUUUUACACAAAGAUAUUCAAGCCUUGUGUUGUAUCAGAUUAAUCCUGUUUGCUUUAAUUAUCAUCAACAUGUGUCUAGAACUGAACAAUGAAGUAAACAGAGUUUAGGUAAGCUAUUAAAAUAAGCCAUGAAAAACUGUUACACAGUUUGGUUUAAGUGUGUGAGUGUGUGAAGUUCAUCUCACCGCUGCAGCUGUGGUCACCGAACAUCUUCCCCCAGAAGCUGGUUUCACGUGGUGGUUUAGAUGUGUGUUCCCGUUGUCUAGCACCAUUUGAAAUCAGUGUUCUUGGGGAUAGCAGGACAGCUCCAGCAGUGAGUGAGGACAAGCACGGGCCUGAACCCUCCUCCCUUGUCUCCACUAAAAGAUAACUGAUUUCCUCUGGUGCUUAGAGCCCGCUGCAGCCUUCUAGCACCAUUUGAAAUCGGUUAUAAAACCGUGGAUCACUGCCUGUGAGAGUCGUUGGCGAAAUCGGAGAGGACAACUGGAAGGAACUUGAAUGACGCUCCUGAAUGCUGCUGUUAAUUGAGUAAUUUGUGGACAGCAAUCAGAGAGGACAAAUGGAAGGAACUUCAAUGAUGCUAACGGAUGUUGCUGUUCACCUGAGUAAUAUGUGGACUACAAUCAGAUCUCUAAUAAACAUGCAUUUUGGAAAAA